AAUUAUUUUUUCUUGGGUAAAGAACAAAUAACUUGAUCGAUUUCUGUAUCGAUCAUGAUAUACGUAAUAACUCAGUUAUCUAUUAAUGCAUGUCCCAUUUUUGUGCAGCAGGGUUAUGAAAACUCACGAGAAGCAACUGGAAGAAUUGUAUGUGCCAAUUGCCAUUUAGCUAGCAAGCCCGUCGAUAUUGAAGGUCCCCAAGCUGUGCUUCCGACUGUAUUCGAAGCAGUUCUUCGAAUUCCUUAUGAUAUGCAAUUGAAACAAGUUCUUGCUAAUGGAAAAAAGGGAGGGUUGAAUGUAGGUGUUGUUCUUAUUUUUCUUGAGGGAUAUGAAUUAGCAUUGCCCGAUCGCAUUUCCCCUGAGUUAUCGUCCCGAUAAAAAAACAUUCUUGUGAUAGGCCGUGUUCUUGGUAAGAAAUAUAGUGAAAUUGUCUUUCCCAUUCUUUCCCCUAAUCCUGCUACGAAGAAAGAUGCUCUUUUCUUAAAAUAUUCCAUAUAUUUAGGGGGAAACCAAGGAAGAUGACAGAUCUAUCCUGAUGGUAGCAAGAGUAACAAUACAGUCUAUAAUGCUACGUCAACAGUUGAUGCAUCAGAUGGACGCCAAGUGAUUGAUAUUAUCAAUUGCCUGAUACGCUAA
rnacentral:rRNA from 1 species